GCGCGAUUAGCUCAGCUGGAUAGAGCGUUGGCCUCCGGAGCCAAAGGCCAGAGGUUCGAAUCCUCUAUCGCGCG
rnacentral:tRNA from 1 species